UCAAAUUCUAUUGAUAAAGAUUUUAAUUUGAUAGAGACAUAAAUUAAUUUACAAUAAGCGAGACAAAUCUUAUUUCAUUAAGAUGGUUAAGUAAAAUUUAAGUUAAAUCUAAAUUCUAUUACCUUAAAGUUAUAAAAAUGAAAAAAAAAAUAGAAGAAAAAAUAUCUACUGAUGAAAAUAACACCAAUAAAAAUCUUACACGGUAAAUGUAGAAUAUUAGUUUUAAAUUUUUCAGAAAAAAAAAAAUAAAAGGCAUAUUCC
rnacentral:lncRNA from 1 species